rnacentral:rRNA from 1 species
GACGAACGCUGGCGGCGUGCCUAAUACAUGCAAGUCGAGCGGACUUUCAAGAAGCUUGCUUUUUGAAAGUUAGCGGCGGACGGGUGAGUAACACGUGGGCAACCUGCCUGUAAGACGGGGAUAACUCCGGGAAACCGGGGCUAAUACCGGAUAAUAUCUUUCUUCGCAUGAAGGAAGGUUGAAAGGCGGCGCAAGCUGCCGCUUGCAGAUGGGCCCGCGGCGCAUUAGCUAGUUGGUGAGGUAACGGCUCACCAAGGCGACGAUGCGUAGCCGACCGGAGAGGGUGAUCGGCCAAACUGGGACUGAGACACGGCCCAGACUCCUACGGGAGGCAGCAGUAGGGAAUCUUCCGCAAUGGACGAAAGUCUGACGGAGCAACGCCGCGUGAGCGAAGAAGGUCUUCGGAUCGUAAAGCUCUGUUGUCAGGGAAGAACAAGUACCGUUCGAAUAGGGCGGUACCUUGACGGUACCUGACCAGAAAGCCACGGCUAACUACGUGCCAGCCGCCGCAGUAA